UACGUAGGGGGCAAGCGUUGUCCGGAAUCAUUGGGCGUAAAGCGCGUGUAGGCGGUUCGGUAAGUCCGCUGUGAAAGUCGGGGGCUCAACCCUCGGAUGCCGGUGGAUACUGUCGAGCUUGAGUACGGAAGAGGCGAGUGGAAUUCCUGGUGUAGCGGUGAAAUGCGCAGAUAUCAGGAGGAACACCAAUGCGAAGGCAGCUCGCUGGGACGUUACUGACGCUGAGACGCGAAAGCGUGGGGAGCAAACAGG
rnacentral:rRNA from 1 species